UACGUAGGGUACAAGCGUUGUCCGGAAUUAUUGGGCGUAAAGGGUACGCAGGCGGUUCUUUAAGUCUGAUGUGAAAUCUCACAGCUUAACUGUGAGCGGUCAUUGGAAACUGAGGAACUUGAGUAUAGAAGAGAAGAGUGGAAUUCCAAGUGUAGCGGUGAAAUGCGUAGAUAUCACAUGGAAUACCAAUUGCGAAGGCAGAUCACUAACAGUAUAUUGACGCUGAGGGACGAAAGCGUGGGUAGCGAACAGGAUUAGA
rnacentral:rRNA from 1 species